UUGGCUUGUGAUCCAUUUUUCUCAGAUGCCCAGACAGCCCUCACCACUGAUAGGCAGGGGCAUGAUCCCGCCUGCCGAGAGGACCUGACGUUGACACUAAACAGGAAUAAAAAGUGCUCAUCUGCUUCUGUGCCAUCAGACGGAGCCCAGUCAGCGAUGACCAGAAAGUUUCCUGCUUUGAAGUAGGCCUUCCCUGGGCUCAAGGAGGAGCUUAAAGACUGAAGAUGAUGAAACCGAGUAACUUGCUAAAGCAACACAGCUAGUAAUAGCAGAACAGAGAAGGCAAUCCAGGCAGUCUGGCUCUGAAGCCCAUGUUCUUAGCAGAGAAAUGAGGGGACAAGACCAGUUCUGGAGGCUAGAAGUCCAACAUUUGCAGUUGGCAAGCUGGAGACCCAGGAGAGCCAAUGGUACAGUUCCAACCUGAGUCUGAAGAUCUAAGAACUGGCAGAGCUGAUGGUAUGAGUUCCAGUUCAUGUUUGAGUCCAGGGGCAGGAGAAGACCAAUCUCCCAGCUUGAAGACAGUCAGGCAGAGGGAAGAUGCUGAAUUUACUGUGCAUUAAAAAGAGAGGAUGGAAAAGAAAUCAACGAUACAAUAAGGAGCUCAGAAGGAGAAAAUUGAAGGCCAUGGAAUGAAGUCAAUUGCCAAAGUCACACCCCUAGAACAAAUGGAUGCCGUUUUGGCAACAAUUUUAAAUCUCCACUCUCGCAGUAUUGUCUCAGGCUAUCUGGGGAAACUUCACAUCUGAUUUGACUUGGGUUCCAGUUCCUGCCGCCAGCUUGCAGUCUCACUUGUCCACUUCCUCAAUGGUGCUUCCUGGGAUCACCUCUUAAGCAAAUUAUUUGCACUCAAAUCCUCGUCUCAGGAUCUGCUUCUGGGAAACUGACUGUCAUACAGCAAAGCACGGGCAGGGUGUACUUCUGGAAGAGGGAACAGCAUCAGCAAAGGCACAGAGCAAACUGGCUCAGCUGACGUGGUCACCCUUGGAGAAUUCAAAGUUGGGGACAUAGCUGUCCUCUGUACAGAAGUGGAGGAGGAAGGGCUGAGUGUCAGGAAGGCCCACGUGAAUGGAGAUGACAAACUCUCAAUUCGACCAGGCUCUCCAAACGACAGGGCAGGUGAGUUUGAAUGGGGUCUCUGAUCUUACGACGUGAGCAAGGGCCAAGGGUGGCAUGUUCCAGCAAACUUCCUUGUUUGGAAGGACACCGAGACAACAAGCUUUUGCCAGGUGGCUCACACGCCAGGUUUUCCUUUAAGCUAUGUUUUUGAGCUCUGCCUGCAGAAGGCACUUCAAUUGCUCCUCAGUCUCAUAACCCCCCUUUCUCUGUUGUGAGCUUUCUCCUCGACAUUGCUGCUCAGGGGAAGAGAGAGAUUAAAGAGGUGCUAAAGCAUUUACAUUGGUUCCUGAUUUUAGCAAGAUUCUUUCAUGUGCAGUUGCCAGAUGUUUACUUGUGUUUACAAUUCAGUGGGAAGAUAAGGAUUACACAAACAAGGACCUCAAAGAGUCCUGGGCUUCUAGAACUGGAAGAGACCUCUGAGAUUCUAACAGUUGGCUUAGUCU
rnacentral:lncRNA from 1 species